rnacentral:rRNA from 1 species
UUAUAUAUACCGAAGAGGAAUGGGGGCUUGGGAUUUAGGGACCUACACAGUUUCAAUCUUGCUAUGUUAGCAAGUUGGCGACUAAUUCAGAACACUGGCUCUUUAUGUGCGCAAGUGCUAAGAGCUAAAUACUAUCCAGAUGAAAUAAUUCUCAAUACUGUACCAAAAAAGGGGUCGUCCUUUACAUGGCAAAAUAUUGUUGCAGGCAUCCAAACUUUUAAAAGAGGGUGUAUUUGGAGAGUUGGCACCGGUUCUCAAAUUAACAUAUAGCAGGAUCCUUGGAUCCCAACAAGCGUUACUAGUAAGAUCAUCACCCCUAGAGGCGUCACCAUGCUAUCAAAAGUGGAAGAGUUAAUUGACCCUCACCUGGGAACCUGGGAUGAGAACCUUAUACGUGAUUUUUUUUUCUCCGUCUACGUGCACAAAAUACUACAGAUCCCCUUGAAUGUUCAGAUGGGCGAGGAUUUUGUUGCAUGGAAUUAUACUCGCUCUGGUUCUUUUUCAGUUCGGUCAGCUAAUCACAAAGAAUUCAAACACCAAUUUGGACACAGGCUUGCAGGAACAGAUGGUCAUGGGAGUAUAAAUGUCAACCCAGUAUGGAAGGACUUGUGGCGGAUGCGAGUCCCGGGCAAGGUGAAACAUUUUGCAUGGAGUUCUCCCUUGUUAUGGCGUUCUAGCUUCUCGGUACGUACCUUGUUCACCACAGUGUCCUGUUUGUGCGGUUGGAGUUGA